GGACGAACGCUGGCGGCGUGCCUAAUCCAUGCAAGUCGAGCGGACGGCUGGGAGCUUGCUCCCAGACCGUCAGCGGCGGACGGGUGAGUAACACGUGGGCAACCUGCCUGUAAGACUGGGAUAACUCCGGGAAACCGGGGCUAAUACCGGAUAACUCUUUCCCUCACAUGAGGGAAAGCUGAAAGAUGGCAUCUCGCUAUCACUUACAGAUGGGCCCGCGGCGCAUUAGCUAGUUGGUGAGGUAACGGCUCACCAAGGCGACGAUGCGUAGCCGACCUGAGAGGGUGAUCGGCCACACUGGGACUGAGACACGGCCCAGACUCCUACGGGAGGCAGCAGUAGGGAAUCUUCCGCAAUGGACGAAAGUCUGACGGAGCAACGCCGCGUGAGUGAUGAAGGUUUUCGGAUCGUAAAACUCUGUUGUCAGGGAAGAACAAGUACCGGAGUAACUGCCGGUACCUUGACGGUACCUGACCAGAAAGCCACGGCUAACUACGUG
rnacentral:rRNA from 1 species